CCCUUAGAUGUUCUGGGCCGCACGCGCGCUACACUGACGAUGGCAACGAGUUUUUCCUUCGCCGAAAGGUGUGGGUAAUCUUUUGAAACAUCGUCGUGCUGGGGAUAGAUCAUUGCAAUUUUUGAUCUUGAACGAGGAAUUCCUAGUAAGCGCGAGUCAUCAGCUCGCGUUGAUUACGUCCCUGCCCUUUGUACACACCGCCCGUCGCUACUACCGAUUGAAUGGUUUAGUGAGGACUCCUGAUUGGCGCCGCCGCCCCGGCAACGGAGCAGCGGACUGCCGAAAAGUUGUUCAAACUUGAUCAAUUAGAGGAAGUAAAAGUCGUAACA
rnacentral:rRNA from 1 species